rnacentral:lncRNA from 1 species
GGAUACAUUAUUUCUGUCUUUAAUGGCGUCUCCAGGACCCAUUGCAUCCAAAUGGAUCUCAGCAUCCAACACCCAUGUCAUAUUGUUCUUGCCCGAAAUUUCAAGGGCAACAAACUUUCUUUUCAUAAUGUCAGACAUAAAAAUUACAUCAAGAGCGUGUUCAUACUUACGGGCUUUAUUACAAUUAUCACAUUCAUUUCA